rnacentral:rRNA from 1 species
GACGAAGGGGGCUAGCGUUGCUCGGAAUCACUGGGCGUAAAGGGUGCGUAGGCGGGUCUUUAAGUCAGGGGUGAAAUCCUGGAGCUCAACUCCAGAACUGCCUUUGAUACUGAGGAUCUUGAGUUCGGGAGAGGUGAGUGGAACUGCGAGUGUAGAGGUGAAAUUCGUAGAUAUUCGCAAGAACACCAGUGGCGAAGGCGGCUGACUGGUCCGGUUCUGACGCUGAGGCGCGAAAGCGUGGGGAGCAAACAGG